GUGGCACUCGGGGGAAGGGCAUUUGCAGGUGACCAGCCAAUCGUUACUCAACUGCAGGGAAACAGGUGGGGAGGCCGAGGAACAGAAGAGGCCAACAGGUGCGGCAAACGAGGCAGCUUAGGGUUGCUUUGUUUAGGCACCAUGCAAAGGCGCUCCUGUUUGGCCCCCAUGUGGACGCAGCUCUUGGCCAAAGCCGCUUUCUAGCUCUGCUGAUGCCACGUGCUCGCUCUACCAGGCUGGAGGUGCACAUUCCAAGACCUGAGGAUGGAGACGUGGUGUCUGCCUUAGCUUUUCUCUGGUCUGUUAUUCAAGGAGUUAGAAGUGCUCAGCUGUGC
rnacentral:lncRNA from 1 species